rnacentral:rRNA from 1 species
UACGUAGGGCGCAAGCGUUGUCCGGAAUUAUUGGGCGUAAAGAGCUCGUAGGCGGCUUGUCACGUCGGGUGUGAAAGCCCGGGACUUAACCCCGGGUCUGCAUUCGAUACGGGCUAGCUAGAGUGUGGUAGGGGAGAUCGGAAUUCCUGGUGUAGCGGUGAAAUGCGCAGAUAUCAGGAGGAACACCGGUGGCGAAGGCGGAUCUCUGGGCCAUUACUGACGCUGAGGAGCGAAAGCGUGGGGAGCGAACAGG